UACGUAGGGCGCAAGCGUUUGUCCGGAAUUAUUGGGCGUAAAGAGCUCGUAGGCGGCUUGUCACGUCGGGUGUGAAAGCCCGGGGCUUAACCCCGGGUCUGCAUUCGAUACGGGCUAGCUAGAGUGUGGUAGGGGAGAUCGGAAUUCCUGGUGUAGCGGUGAAAUGCGCAGAUAUCAGGAGGAACACCGGUGGCGAAGGCGGAUCUCUGGGCCAUUACUGACGCUGAGGAGCGAAAGCGUGGGGGAGCGAACAGG
rnacentral:rRNA from 1 species